UACAGAGGUCUCAAGCGUUGUUCGGAUUCAUUGGGCGUAAAGGGUGCGUAGGUGGCGCCGUAAGUCAGGUGUGAAAUUUCGGAGCUUAACUCCGAAACUGCAUUUGAUACUGCGGUGCUUGAGGACUGGAGAGGAGACUGGAAUUCACGGUGUAGCAGUGAAAUGCGUAGAUAUCGUGAGGAAGACCAGUGGCGAAGGCGGGUCUCUGGACCGGUUCUGACGCUGAGGCGCGAAAGCGUGGGGAGCAAACGGG
rnacentral:rRNA from 1 species